UACGUAGGCAGCGAGCGUUGUUCGGAAUCACUGGGCGUAAAGGGCGCGUAGGCGGCCCGCUAAGUCGAACGUGAAAUCCCCAGGCUCAACCUGGGAACUGCGUCCGAUACUGGCAGGCUUGAAUCCGGGAGAGGGAUGUGGAAUUCCAGGUGUAGCGGUGAAAUGCGUAGAUAUCUGGAGGAACACCGGUGGCGAAGGCGGCAUCCUGGACCGGUAUUGACGCUGAGGCGCGAAAGCUAGGGGAGCAAACGGG
rnacentral:rRNA from 1 species